rnacentral:lncRNA from 1 species
CUCACUCAGGUGCAGCUUUCAAAGACAGCUAUGAGGGGGAAUUCUCUCAGUGUGCAGGGCUUCACGCACUACACUUGGUCAUCAAAUUCAUGUUGAAAGAGAUGCAGCCUCAGCCUCAGUUUGGAAUAUACACAGACGGGUAGGUGCUGAAGGGCACAGACAGAUCAUCAGAGGCCUAGUGGGAGAGAAAUUAGGAGAUCAUAGACAAGGAUAUCUGGAGUAGUGUUGUGUAGAUGACACUAUGGGAGAAGACACAAUGUGGGAAGAUCUUUCAGUUGCAGGUUAACACCUACCAGAAAUCAUCUAUUUUGGAAGAGGCACUAGACAGCCAAGUAGAUGGACUGACUCAGCCACUUGAUGCCAGCCAGUUUCUGUCAUUGGCCAUUCCAGUGCUGCUGAAAUGAACACAUGAAAAGAGUAGCUUUAGUGUCAGAGAUGUUAGGUUAUGCUCGGGCCCAACAGCAUGGGCUCCCAUUCAUCAAAGCUGGUCUAGCUCCAGGUGCUGCCGAACAGCAAACUUGCCAGUAACAAAGAUGACAUCUUCAUCCCCAAUAUUGCAUCAUUUCUUCAGGAGAUCAUCCCAUCACUAAGCGGCAAGUUCACCACAGUCUACUUCUUUCAUCUUGCCAGGGUCAGUGGUUCAUUUUUGACAGUAACAAAUUCUGAACAUGAAUUUGCUUUUUCUGUCCCCAUGGUUUCAGGCAACACUGUUAUCUGAAUGCUUGCAGAGUGUCAGAUCCAACAACAGCAAUUUCACUUAUAAUUAUGUCAGGCAGAGGGACAAACCUUAAAACCAAGCAGGUCCAUCAGUGGGUCCAUAAUGACAGGAUCUGCUGGUCAUAUCACAAGCCACACCACUCUAUUGCAUCAACCUGAUAGAGUGCUGAAACAGCCUGUUGAAACACAACGGAGGUGUAGGCCCAGACAUGCUUCCCUGUGAGAAUGAGACAGCACUCUCCAGGACAUAGCAUCUAUCCUGAAUCAAUGAGCAUUCGCGGGCUCUGGGUUCCCGAUAAACAGAAUACAUAGAUGAGAAACCAAAGUCUAGAAGCAAGAGUGGCCUCUGUUACCAACAUUCCCAGUGACCCACUGGAGAAUUUGUGCUUCUUGUUCCUGCAACUCUGGGGUCUGUGGGUUUAAAGAUCUUGGUUCCCAAAGGAAGAACAUUUCUGCCAUGAACACAUCAUCAUUUCCCUUGAAUCUAAGCUGUGGUAGCUUCCUGGACACAUUAAAUUUCUCAUGGCAAAGGACAAAAGGACAAGAAAAGCAGUCACCAUCCUAACAGAGGUAAUGGAUUCUGGCCCUCCUUUAUGCCCCACCUCAGGAGGAGGAGCUGCUGCUACAGGGAGGAAUAUGCUGGCAAUCUACCUUUGGAAAGUCCUUGACCAAUUGUUUCGACUAUCGAUUUACAGCAAUGGAUUGGUCAAGGAAGGAUAAAGAAACUUGGAAAGAACUAUCAUGAUACCUGCCCUGAGAAGCCAAAAUUUGGUUUAACUUUGUGUUGUUUACUGUUUGGUUCUAUAAAAGCUAAGUUUAUAAAAUAUUGUAUGACAGGUGAAUUUAAAUGUUACUAACCAUCUUGGAUGUCCUGCUCUUCUGCUGUACAGCAAUAAAGUCUCUCUAAAUGCAA